GCCUCUUAUGGAUUAAGACCUUGUCGUGGUGAGGGGGCUGAGUAUGUGAGGAUUGUUAAUAAAAAUCAUGGAAACCAGCAUCAAU
rnacentral:ribozyme from 1 species